GGGGUGGACCCGAGUGUCAGCUUCCUCAGGGGCCGUUUCGGGGCCCAGAGCUCCCCGAGAAACAGAACCCCUCGCUCACCCUGCACUUGGCACGCGGUCUCCGAUGCCACACGGUGCGGCUCUAGUCCACUCACUCUGCCAAGGGUUUUUUUUUUUAUCCGCAACAGCCCCUCAUGAGCUGUCCUGAAUCACUCUUAUCUCAGCCUCCGCCAGGCCUCUGUCUGAAAAACACCCUUUUGUGCUCAUGGGUAGGAACAGCGUUCGCCUCAACGGGGGACUCCGCCCUCUUACUGGAACCUACUCCAUUUCAGUCUCCCUUGCAUUUCGCUGUGGGCACAAAACGGAAUUCUAGUCCACGGAAUGAGAUGUUACCUGCAUCACUUUCAAGCCCGGCCCAUAACAGCCUCCCACACAGCAGCUCCUUGGCUCAUCCAGCCGGCUGAGAUUGAGAGGAACUCAAGUGUUGAAGACGACAGAGCCUCCAUCAGCCUGGACCCCUGAGUGACGACUGCACAGAAGAAGCCCGCCCUGUGAACUGUGCCCCAAUUUGAUGCUAUUAUGAGAACAUGAAAUAAAUUUAAGUUAUGGUGAGACAUU